rnacentral:rRNA from 1 species
ACUCAAAUGAAUAGACGGGGCCCCGCACAAGCAGCGGAGCGUGUGGUUUAAUUCGACGUAACACGAAGAACCUUACCGGGGUUUGACAUGUACAUGUAAUCCCGUGAAAGCGGGACCCCUCGCAAGAGGCGUGUACACAGGUGUUGCAUGGCUGUCGUCAGCUCGUGCCGUGAGGUGUUGGGUUAAGUCCCGCAACGAGCGCAACCCUCGUCGCCAGUUGCUCUCUCUGGCGAGACUGCCGAGUUUAACUCGGAGGAAGGCGGGGAUGACGUCAAGUCAGCAUGGCCCUUACAUCCCGGGCUACACACACGCUACAAUGGGCGGUACAGAGGGUUGCUAAGCCGCGAGGCGGAGCCAAUCCCACAAAACCGUCCUCAGUUCAGAUCGCAGUCUGCAACCCGACUGCGUGAAGGCGGAGUUGCUAGUAACCGCAGGUCAGCAUACUGCGGUGAAUAUGUUCCCGGGGCUUGUACACACCGCCCGU